UGAGAUGGCUUGUUGGGGGGUGAUGGGGGAUGUGAUAGGCAGGUGGGGCAUCUACACCUGUUUGGCUAAAGUCCUCCCAGCUCAUCUCUUUCCACCAAAAACUGUUUGGGGGCCAGGCCACCUUCUUUCCCACAAGAUACUCGCCUCCCACAGUCCCACCGCCAACCACCCACUUUCCCCAACCCCGUUUGUAAUCUCAGAACAAACCCCAUCUCCUGCAAGAAGCCUUCCUUUCUCUGAGGGAGGAACUAGGGCUCAGGCGCAGCUGCUGUGUGCCAAGAACUUCGAUGCGUUUUCUUACUGCGUCUUCACAACAGCCCCAGGAGGGCGGUGCUGUUUUCAUUAUCCCCAUUUUACAGAGGUGGACACGGCGGCGCAGCGAGCGUCUUGCUCAAGGGCAAAGAAUAAGGAGGUAAGCCGAAUGCUCAGGGAGGGUCAGGAACUCAGACAUCUCCUGGCUUACUGGAAGCUUAUGCAGCAGGGAGCUGGAAGCCAAGCUCGGGUGUUUGUGAGAAGCAGGUGACCCAGGACUUUGUGGCUGGUACCUGCCCUGAGUUCUUCCAGUUGCACUGUCCUGGAUAACCCUUCUGGAACCUUCCAAAGAGGCAGAAACUGGUCGCUGUGCUGGAGGAGUGAGGAGUGGGUGUGCAUGCAGCCUGAACAAUCUCCUUGUCCCCCAGCUGCUGAAGCCUGUCACCUUUCUAAGGAGUUAGUGCCCAGGAACCAGCUUUUCCUUAAUAAAAGAACUCAAAUGUA
ensembl:lncRNA novel transcript